UACAGAGGGGGCAAGCGUUGUCCGGAAUUAUUGGGCGUAAAGAGCUCGUAGGCGGCUUGUCGCGUCGGAUGUGAAAGCCCGGGGCUUAACUCCGGGUCUGCAUUCGAUACGGGCAGGCUAGAGUUCGGUAGGGGAGAUCGGAAUUCCUGGUGUAGCGGUGAAAUGCGCAGAUAUCAGGAGGAACACCGGUGGCGAAGGCGGAUCUCUGGGCCGAUACUGACGCUGAGGAGCGAAAGCGUGGGGAGCGAACAGG
rnacentral:rRNA from 1 species